AGCUUUAUGCAAUGGCAGUAUUGUAGCCAAUGAGGUUUAUCUGAGGCGUGGUUAUUGCUAAUUGAAAACUUUUCCCAAUACCCCACCAUGCUAACUUGAAAUACAGUUGGCAUUGGCAAUUUUUUACAGUCUUUAUGUCAGA